ACUCCUACGGAGGCAGCAGUGGGGAAUAUUGGACAAUGGGCGCAAGCCUGAUCCAGCAAUGCCGCGUGUGUGAAGAAGGCCUUCGGGUUGUAAAGCACUUUUAUCAGGAACGAAAUACUACUGGCUAAUAACCGGUGGGGCUGACGGUACCUGAGGAAUAAGCACCGGCUAACUUCGUGCCAGCAGCCGCGGUAAUACGAAGGGUGCAAGCGUUAAUCGGAAUUACUGGGCGUAAAGGGUGCGUAGGCGGUUUGUUAAGUCUGUCGUGAAAUCCCCGGGCUCAACCUGGGAAUGGCGAUGGAUACUGGCAAGCUAGAGUGUGUCAGAGGAUGGUGGAAUUUCCGGUGUAGCGGUGAAAUGCGUAGAGAUCGGAAGGAACAUCAGUGGCGAAGGCGGCCAUCUGGGACAACACUGACGCUGAAGCACGAAAGCGUGGGGAGCAAACAGGAUUAGAAACCCUGGUAGUCC
rnacentral:rRNA from 1 species